AGUCAUGUGACCCACACAAUGGCUGAGCGCGUACUUCAGGCUUCCCGGCAACGCCAAGUGGAAGCCAUGAUGGCAGCCGCGGGUUCGGCGGGCCAAGCCGCGGUGCCCCUGCUGCUGUGCGCGCUGCUGGCGCCCGGCGGCGCGUACGUCCUCGACGAUUCCGACGGGCUGGGCCGGGAGUUCGACGGCAUCGGAGCGGUCAGCGGCGGCGGGGCAACCUCCCGACUUCUAGUAAAUUACCCAGAGCCCUAUCGUUCUCAAAUACUGGAUUAUCUCUUUAAGCCAAACUUCGGUGCCUCUUUGCAUAUUCUAAAAGUUGAAAUAGGAGGUGAUGGGCAGACCACAGAUGGCACUGAGCCCUCCCACAUGCACUACGCAUUAGAUGAGAAUUAUUUCCGAGGAUAUGAGUGGUGGUUAAUGAAGGAAGCUAAGAAGCGGAACCCUAAUAUCAUACUCAUGGGGCUGCCAUGGUCGUUCCCUGGAUGGCUGGGGAAAGGUUUCAACUGGCCUUAUGUAAAUCUUCAGCUGACUGCCUACUAUGUUGUGUCCUGGAUUGUGGGCGCCAAGCAUUAUCAUGAUCUGGACAUUGAUUAUAUCGGAAUUUGGAAUGAGAGGGCAUUUGACAUCAAUUAUAUCAAGGUGUUAAGAAGAAUGCUGAACUAUCAAGGUCUCCAGCAAGUGAAAAUCAUAGCGAGUGAUAAUCUCUGGGAGCCCAUUUCUGCUUCUAUGCUGCUUGACUCUGAGCUCUUGAAGGUGAUUGACGUUAUAGGAGCUCAUUACCCAGGGACCCGUACAGUAAAGGAUGCUAGGUUGACUGAGAAGAAGCUUUGGUCUUCUGAAGAUUUUAGCACUUUAAAUAGUGAUGUGGGUGCAGGCUGCUGGGGUCGCAUAUUGAAUCAGAAUUAUAUCAAUGGCUACAUGACUGCCACAAUUGCUUGGAAUUUGGUGGCUAGUUACUAUGAACAGUUGCCAUAUGGGCGUUGUGGACUGAUGACUGCUCAGGAGCCAUGGAGCGGGCACUAUGUAGUAGAAGCUCCUAUCUGGAUAUCAGCUCAUACCACUCAGUUUACUCAACCAGGUUGGUAUUACCUGAAGACAGUUGGCCAUUUAGAAAAAGGAGGAAGCUAUGUAGCUCUGACGGAUGGCUUAGGUAACCUCACCAUCAUCGUUGAAACUAUGAGUCAUAAACAUUCCAUGUGUAUACGGCCACUUCUUCCCUAUUUCAAUGUUUCACAACAAUUUGCUACCUUCAUUCUUAAGGGUUCUUUUAGUGAAAUACCAGAGCUGCAGGUGUGGUAUACCAAACUUGGAAAACCAUCGGAGAGAUUUCUUUUCAAACAACUGGAUUCUCUAUGGCUCUUAGACAGCGGUGGCAGCUUCACACUGGAACUGCAAGAGGACGAGCUGUUCACACUCACCACGCUCACCACCGGCAGCAAAGGCAGUUACCUGCUGCCUCCGAAGUCCCAGCCCUUUCCCUGUGUCUAUAAGGAUGACUUCAAUGUCGAUUACCCAUUUUUUAGUGAAGCUCCGAAUUUUGCUGAUCAGACAGGUGUAUUUGAAUACUUUAUGAAUAUUGAAGACCCUGGAGAGCAUCGCUUCACACUGCGCCAGGUUCUCAAUCAAAGACCCAUUACUUGGGCUGCUGAUGCAUUCAACACCAUCAGUAUUAUAGGAGAUUACAAAUGGUCCAAUUUGACUGUAAAGUGUGAUGUGUACUUAGAGACCCCUGAGAAGGGAGGUGUGUUCAUUGCUGGAAGAGUGAAUAAAGGUGGUGUUUUGAUUAGAAGUGCCAGGGGAGUUUUCUUCUGGAUUUUUGCAAAUGGAACCUACAGAGUUACAGGUGAUCUAGCUGGAUGGAUCAUAUAUACUUCAGGACAUGCUGACGUUACAGCAAAAAAAUGGUAUACACUCACUUUAACUAUUAAUGGUUAUUUCUCUUCUGGCACGCUGAAUGGUAAGCCUCUCUGGAAAAACGUCCCUGUGAACUUCCCGAAGAAUGGCUGGGCUGCGAUUGGAACUCACUCCUUUGAAUUUGCACAGUUUGACAACUUUCGUGUGGAAGCCAUACACUAAUACUCACAGUGCCAUAGAACACUCUCUGGAUUUUCUUUCUUUUUGGUUUUGGUUCAGAGCCAUUUCUGGUUUUGAUGGAUCAAUAUAGGAGCCUUUUGGAAGCUAUAAAUAAUGGAGAGUAAAUGAGGAGAAAAAUAUAUUUUUGCUUCAUCAUCUUGAAGAUUUCUUUUUUAGAAUUCCAAGGGGAAACAGAUGAAUCUUUAAUAUGACCUGAUACGUCCCAUAGAUAGGACACUAGGUGACUGGAAGGAGGAAGAAAACCCUAUGUAGACAAUGCUGUGAGUGGGUCCAAAGGUAAAAUUGUAGCAAUUUCUUGCAUUUCAUUUCAUUGUGCCUUUCAUUGUCUGUCUUCUCUUGUGGCACUGGUGACAAACUAAAAUAACCAAUGAAUACUUUUAUCUCCUCAUGCCUGGAAAAAAAGGAACAUCUAUCUAGUUUAUAGAAUUGGAUCAUCCUCUAAUAUUUUGUGUGGUUAGAAGCAUUUCUUUUGUUAAAGUACAAAUAUAUUUAAGUAUAGGUGAGCAUAUUUCUCAUGCAGUAUAAUUUAUAUCUAAUAAUUAGUGUACCUCCUA